UACGAAGGGGGCUAGCGUUGCUCGGAAUCACUGGGCGUAAAGCGCACGUAGGCGGCUUCUUAAGUCAGGGGUGAAAUCCUGGAGCUCAACUCCAGAACUGCCUUUGAUACUGAGGAGCUCGAGUCCGGGAGAGGUGAGUGGAACUGCGAGUGUAGAGGUGAAAUUCGUAGAUAUUCGCAAGAACACCAGCGGCGAAGGCGGCACUCUGGGCGUGGU
rnacentral:rRNA from 1 species